GUGGUAACUUCCACAUCACAUAUACAAAAACUGGAACGAUACAAAGAUUAGCAUUAUACUGUGCAAAAUUGACACACAAAUUCGUGAAGAUCUUAUAUUCUUA